rnacentral:rRNA from 1 species
AUUCCCGUUGAUCCUGCGGGAGAUUGCUGCUAUUGGGAUUCGACUAAGCCAUGCAAGUCUUCUAGCAAUAGAGGCAAAAGGCUCAGUAACACGUCGGUAACCUGCCCUAUGGUCAGGCAUAACCUCGCGAAAGUGAGGGUAAUACCUGAUAGGGAACAAGCCCUGGAAUGGGCUCUUCCUGAAACUCGUGCCAUAGGAUGGGCUGGCGGCGGAUUAGGCUGUUGGCGGUGUAAUGCACGCAAAAGCCAACCCUUUUGGGUUGUAAGCUGGCGCUUACAAGACCACCAAACCUAAGAUCCGUACGGGCCAUGAGAGUGGGAGCCCGGAGAGGGACACUGAGAUACUGGUCCCAGCCCCACGGGGUGCAGCAGGCGCGAAACCUCUACAAUGCACGCAAGUGUGAUAGGGGGAUCCCAAGUGCUUAUCAUUGAUAGGCUUUUGCUAAGUGUAAAAAGCUUGGCGAAUAAGGGGUGGGUAAGACUGGUGCCAGCCGCCGCGGUAACACCAGCGCCCCAAGUGGCAAUCGCGAUUAUUGGGCCUAAAGCGUCCGUAGCAGGUCUUGUAAAUCCUUUGUGAAAUCGGCAGGCUUAACCUGUCGGCGUGCAGAGGACACUGCAGGACUCGAGACCGGGAGAAGUCAGAAGUAUUUCUAGGGUACCGGUAAAAUGGGUUAAUCCUAGGAGGACUACCAAUGGCGAAGGCAUCUGACUAGAACGGAUCUGACUGUGAGGGACGAAAGCUAGGGGAGCAAAACGGAUUAGAUACGAGAAAUUUCCUUGCGUAAAUUUCUGGAAUUAGCUUCGUGAAUUUGUUCGAUAAAAAAUUACUUCAUGAAGAUAAGAAAAGAAAUUGUUAAUGGAAAUUAACUCGCUAAUUACCCGAGUAGUCCUAGCUGUAAACGCUGCGAGCAAGGUAUUGCGCACCCCACGAGGAUGCGCAGUGUCGAAGCGAAGGCGUUAAGCUCGCCGCCAGGGAAGUACGGUCGCAAGGCUGAAACCAACAGCAGUACCUGCUGAGGUUCACUGCUGGGCAGCUGACUUUAAGGAAUUGGCGGGGAGACACCACAAGGGGUGCGGCGUGCGGUUCAAUCUAACUCAACGCAGAGAACCUCACUAGGCCCGACGGCAGAAUGAAGGUCAUGCUGAAGACAUUACCUGACAAGCCGAGAGGUAGUGCAUGGCCGUCGUCAGCUCGUGCUGUGAAGUGUCCAGUUAUGAAACACAGAGUGUUUCGCACCGAAAGCUCUGGUUUCGCUGUGAGUCUGGUAACGAGCGAGACCUGCACCCUCUAUUGCUAACAACCACUGCGGUGGGAUUGAGCACUUUGAGGGGACUGCCCUGGAAACUGGGAGGAAGGUGCAGGCUACGGUAGGUCUGUAUGCUCCGAAUGGUCUAGGCUACACGCGCGCAACAAUGGUAGGGACAAUGGGAUGCCACCCCGAAAGGGGGAGCUAAACCUCUAAACCCUAUCCUAGUACAGAUCGAGGCUUGUAACUCAGCCUCGUGACGCUGGAAUCCCUAGUAAUCGGAUAUCAUCAUUGUCCGGUGAAUAUGUCCCUGUCUCUUGCACACACCGAAGAAAAAUGUGCCAGGCAGUUAACAGAGCUAGUUGGUGAACAUUAU